rnacentral:rRNA from 1 species
GUAGGGACGAAGCUAACGUGACGGUACCUACAGAAGAAGGACCGGCCAACUACGUGCCAGCAGCCGCGGUGAUACGUAGGGUCCGAGCGUUGUCCGGAAUUAUUGGGCGUAAAGAGCUCGUAGGCGGCUUGUCACGUCGGAAGUGAAAUCUCGGAGCUCAACUCCGAGCCUGCUUCCGAUACGGGCUAGCUAGAGGAAGGUAGGGGAGAAUGGAAUUCCGGGUGGAGCGGUGGAAUGCGCAGAUAUCCGGAGGAACACCAGUGGCGAAGGCGGUUCUCUGGACCUUUCCUGACGCUGAGGAGCGAAAGCGUGGGGAGCAAACAGGCUUAGAUACCCUGGUAGUCCACGCCGUAAACGGUGGGCACUAGGUGUGGGACUCAUUCCGCGAGUUCCGUGCCGUAGCUAACGCAUUAAGUGCCCCGCCUGGGGAGUACGGCCGCAAGGCUAAAACUCAAAGGAAUUGACGGAAUCACUA